AUCAAGGCAACCAAACUUUCCACCUUCAGCAAGUCGAGGGGGAUGAACCCAGGGCCAAGUGGCCAGCCCGCACGGGCAUAGCCUGAUACCAGCGAUGGUAACAUGGUAGUGUCAGUAACAACAAGAGGAAGAAGAUGUAUUCCACUUCAAUAAGUCGAAAAUCGCCGAAUUAAAAGGAAAAGUUACCGCCAAAUUAGCCGUAUCUCGUCAUAACUCGUCUCUCCAAAUUCUGAUCUCUCACUAAUAGAGAGCAGUGAUGAGGAGCCGUACAGAUCUGGAUCUCGAAUCAGAGAUGCGGUUCGUAAUUGAUGUAUUAGAAUGACAUAUUCUUUACCGUUUUCUCAUCAAACAGGACACAAAGCCAGCACACAAGCCGCUCACAAACAAAACAACAAAAUUAAAAUACAAAAGGGUUAUUAAAAAGGAUAUUCAAAAGACCAUCUUACAAUCAAUCAUCAUCAUGAUCAAGUUGUAUCGAUAAUCAAAAAUGAAACUUAAUCCGAGAAGAAUUGAAUAUAGAAUCCGAAUCGAUAACAAUCAGAGAUGAGGACGGUGGCGUCGGGAGGUAGAGAAGUCCAUUCUUCAGAGCGAUGUCAUGCAGUGGCGGGCGAUGGAAUUUGGUAUGUGGCGGAGGAAAAUAUGGAUUAAGCCUUGAAGUGAAUAGAUUACCUCAUGAAGAAGUUCAAUAGUGAAUCAAUUGAGGACCUUGCUCCAGCCGACCGACGAUGGAAGCCAUGUAUUUAGUUACAUCGGAGAAGACGAGCUUGGUGUAACUGGAAAUUGCACAUGAUUCAAACAUAUGACAUUUUUUGCCUUAUAAAUUCAAUUGCUGUGGAUUUAGGAUUUUCCAACGGACAAUAU
rnacentral:lncRNA from 1 species